rnacentral:sRNA from 27 species
UUGCGGGACGCGCCAAGCGGAUGCGGCGGUGCUGGAGAACAUCGGGAUUUUUCCGCUUUCUCCCGAUGACCAACGAAACGGCAGGCGAGCUCCCUAUCCGUCCGGUCCG